CGCAUCUGUGCAUGCAGCAUAUCAAUAAGCGAGGAAAAGAAACUAACAAGGAUUCCCCUAGUAACGGCGAGUGAAGCGGGAAGAGCUCAAAUUUGAAAUCUUAAAGGGUUUCCCUUUACGAAUUGUAGUUUAAAGAAGUGUUUUCUGUUGAGGUUUUGGUAAAAGUUCUUUGGAAUAGGACAUCAUAGAGGGUGAGAAUCCCGUAUUUGACCUUUACUUUCAACUUUGUGAUACACUUUCAAAGAGUCGGAUUGUUUGGGAAUGCAGUCCAAAAUGGGUGGUAAAUUUCAUCUAAAGCUAAAUAUUGGCGAGAGACCGAUAGCGAACAAGUACCGUGAGGGAAAGAUGAAAGGAACUUUGAAAAGAGAGUUAAACAGUACGUGAAAUUGUCAAAAGGGAAGCGUUUGACACCAGUGUUGUUUUUCUGAAAAUCAAUUAAAGAACUGUUUAUGCUAAGUUGUUUAGACUUUAUCAGCUAACUGUUUAGUUUUGAGCUUUUCUUUAAUGCACUUUUCAGUUAACAAGUCAACAUCGAUUUCUUUUGCUGUAAAAAAGCUUGAGGAAGGUGGCUUGAGAUUCGUCUUAAGUGUUUAUAGCCUCUUGCCUAUGCAGUCGGAGAGAUUGAGGUCUGCAGCGUAGAUCCUUCGGGGCUAAAUGCAUUUGUGCUAAGUUAUAGCAUUUUAUAGACAACUUGUUGACUAUGAUUUGUCUUGUAGCUUACUCGCUUAUGUUAUUUUACCUACGCUUAGGAUGUUGAAUCUGUGCGAGACUAC
rnacentral:rRNA from 1 species